UACAGAGGGUGCGAGCGUUAAUCGGAAUUACUGGGCGUAAAGGGUGUGUAGGUGGCAAGGCAAGUUAGAUGUGAAAUCCCCGGGCUCAACCUGGGAAUUGCGUUUAAAACUGCUUAGCUAGAGUAUUGUAGAGGAUAGUGGAAUUUCCAGUGUAGCGGUGAAAUGCGUAGAUAUUGGAAGGAACACCAGUGGCGAAGGCGACUAUCUGGACAGAUACUGACACUGAGACACGAAAGCAUGGGGAGCAAACAGG
rnacentral:rRNA from 1 species